UUCUUUUCAUUACAAUAGAAAUACAUUCGGCACAUAGACGUUAAAAAUGCUGGGCAUCCCGCAAGCAGGACCACCCGGUUCACUCGGUGUGUGUGGAUGAUUUACAGCCCCUUUCGGGGCCAAUCUCUAAUGAUCCUUCCGCAGGUUCACCUACGGAAA
rnacentral:misc_RNA from 1 species